CAGUCGCCGCGGUAAUACAGAGGAUGCAAGCGUUAUCCGGAAUGAUUGGGCGUAAAGCGUCUGUAGGUGGCUUUUCAAGUCCGCCGUCAAAUCCCAGGGCUCAACCCUGGACAGGCGGUGGAAACUACCAAGCUGGAGUACGGUAAGGGCAGAGGGAAUUUCCGGUGGAGCGGUGAAAUGCGUUGAGAUCGGAAAGAACACCUACGGCGAAAGCACUCUGCUGGGCCGACACUGACACUGAGAGACGAAAGCUAGGGGAGCAAAUGGGAUUAGAUACCCGUGUAGUCCCUGUCUCUUAUAC
rnacentral:rRNA from 1 species